GGACGCUCACGAGGGUUUCGGCCCUUGUGGGAGUGGCGGACGGGUGAGUAGCGCGUGGGAACCUGCCCUGUUGUGGGGGAUAACCGAGGGAAACUUCGGCUAAUACCGCAUGCGCCCCUGGGGGAGACCUUGGGGGGAAAGAUUUAUCGCAGCAGGAGGGGCCCGCGUCGGAUUAGGUAGUUGGUGGGGUAACGGCCUACCAAGCCUGUGAUCCGUAGCUGGUCUGAGAGGAUGAUCAGCCACACUGGGACUGAGACACGGCCCAGACUCCUACGGGAGGCAGCAGUGGGGAAUAUUGGACAAUGGGCGCAAGCCUGAUCCAGCAAUGCCGCGUGAGUGAUGAAGGCCCUAGGGUUGUAAAGCUCUUUUGUGCGGGAAGAUAAUGACGGUACCGCAAGAAUAAGCCCCGGCUAACUUCGUG
rnacentral:rRNA from 1 species